UACAUAGAAAUAGAGAAAUGAAAGCUGAAAUCAUUUACAAAACUAUGAUCACUCCAAGAUCAGCAGGAGAGAUGGGAAAGACAGAAGACUGAGGAGCUGAGCAUUUGAGGUACAUGGAAAUCAGUGGUGCCUAUUGUCCACAAACAGCCUAUGUAAAAGAUUUGUAUUCCUAUUGGGAAACUUGGACAGGUACUGGUAUUAUAUUUUGAUACUAAAGAGGCAAUACUGGACUUUUUGACAGGGAUACGAGAGACACAGGAUCUAAGAUUUUUCAGCUCUAACUUGUGUGCCUUUUAGUUCAUAUCUUUAAUCUGCUGCAAUAUAUGUUCUCUGACAUUUAGUCUUUGAAAAAAGAAAGAGGAGUACUUGUGACACCCU